GGGGCUGACUUGGAAUUGACAGCAACUGAUGAUGAAUAGUAUAAGCAUGUCGAGUCAUGUGGUGAGACUCGUUAAUCCCUGGUCACAAACAAUAAUUGACAACAAUAUGUCAUAUAACCUCGCAGCGUAAUCAUUAGAUGAUUCUGCUUAAUCCACUCCGAAGCAUAGUAAGAGGGACGAGAUUCUCGCGGAACUCCCUUCCUAAGAGGUCCGAUCACGGGAGUUUACAAAGUUGGGAAUAGCUUGCAAACGGCUUCUGAAUGCGAGCGAAAUUGAAUGAAGAUAAGCUUAAAGUAGGGUGUUUACCUCCAGCUUUGAGUCGAAAACCGAAGUGUAGACUAAACAUGUAGAAGGCUUUUUAUUGCUUUGUUUGGACGAGGGUUCGAACCCCUCCAGCUCCACUC
rnacentral:tmRNA from 1 species